rnacentral:misc_RNA from 1 species
GAAAUGCGAUACGUAAUGUGAAUUGCAGAAUUCAGUGAAUCAUCGAAUCUUUGAACGCACAUUGCACUCCUUGGUAUUCCGAGGAGUAUGCCUGUUUCAGUAUCAUGAGCACUCUCACACCUAACCUUUGGGUUUAUGGCGUGGAAUUGGAAUGCGCCGACUGUCAUGGUUGGCCCUUCUAAAAUGUAGUUCUUGGCUGUCACCUAAUACAGCAGUUUGGCCUAAUAGUUUUGGCAUUCAUUGUCAAAUCUUUGGCUAACAUUUGCUCCAGGAGUCAGUCUUGAUAAUACAGAAAACUCAUUCAAAUUUUGAUCUGAAAUCAGGUAGGGCUACCCGCUGAACUUAA